rnacentral:rRNA from 1 species
CCUACGGGGGGCUGCAGUGGGGAAUAUUGGACAAUGGGGGCAACCCUGAUCCAGCCAUGCCGCGUGUGUGAAGAAGGCCCUCGGGUUGUAAAGCACUUUCAGUGAGGAAGAACGCCUGGUGGUUAAUACCCAUCAGGAAAGACAUCACUCACAGAAGAAGCACCGGCUAACUCCGUGCCAGCAGCCGCGGUAAUACGGAGGGUGCGAGCGUUAAUCGGAAUUACUGGGCGUAAAGCGCGCGUAGGUGGCUUGAUAAGCCGGUUGUGAAAGCCCCGGGCUCAACCUGGGAACGGCAUCCGGAACUGUCAAGCUAGAGUGCAGGAGAGGAAGGUAGAAUUCCCGGUGGAGCGGUGAAAUGCGUAGAGAUCGGGAGGAAUACCAGUGGCGAAGGCGGCCUUCUGGACUGACACUGACACUGAGGUGCGAAAGCGUGGGUAGCAAACAGGAUUAGAUACCCUUGUAGUC